rnacentral:rRNA from 1 species
GGAUUAGAUACCCGGGUAGUCCACGCCGUAAACGAUGGAUACUAGCUGUCGGGGGUAUCGACCCCCUCGGUAGCGAAGCUAACGCGUUAAGUAUCCCGCCUGUGGAGUACGGCCGCAAGGCUAAAACAUAAAGGAAUUGACGGGGAUCAGCACAAGCGGUGGAUCGUGUUCUUUAAUUCGAUGAUAAACGAAGAACCUUACCAGGGUUUGACAUCCUUGGAAGCACUGUGAAAGCAGAGUGUGCCUUUUGGAACCAAGUGACAGGUGUUGCAUGGCCGUCGUCAGCUCGUGUCGUGAGAUGUUUGGUUAAGUCCAUCAACGAGCGCAACCCUUGUGAAUAGUUGUAUUUUUCUAUUCAGACUGCUCUAGUAAUAGGGAGGAAGGAGGGGAUGAU